rnacentral:rRNA from 1 species
CGAAGGGUCCAAGCGUUGUUCGGAAUCAUUGGCCGUAAAGCGCGCGCAGGCGGAUCAGCAAGUCAGAUGUGAAAUCUCGGAGCUCAACUUCGAAACUGCGUCUGAAACUGCUAGUCUAGAAUAUCGGAGGGGGCAGGGGAAUUUCACGUGUAGGGGGUAAAAUCCGUAGAGAUGUGAAGGAACACCGGAGGCGAAGGCGCCUGCCUGGACGAUUAUUGACGCUGAGGCGCGAAAGCGUGGGGGAGCAAACAGGAUU